rnacentral:rRNA from 1 species
UACGGUAGGGUGCAAGCGUUAUCCGGAUUCACUGGGUUUAAAGGGUGCGUAGGUGGGCAGGUAAGUCAGUGGUGAAAUCUCUGGGCUUAACCCGGAAACUGCCGUUGAUACUAUCUGUCUUGAAUAUAGUGGAGGUGAGCGGAAUAUGUCAUGUAGCGGUGAAAUGCUUAGAUAUGACAUAGAACAUCGAUUGCGAAGGCAGCUCGCUACACUAUGAUUGACACUGAGGCACGAAAGCGUGGGGAUCAAACAGG